rnacentral:lncRNA from 1 species
AUCGAGACAAAGCAAAAUAUAUUGUGGCAAAUUCUGCAGUUCAGAGUCGUGACAGAGUCAGAGCCUCCUAUUGCAGUGCGGGAGCCUUCUGCUUGUCUCCCCGCUGCCUAGGAUGCAGGGGCUUCCGAGCGGGGUUAAAUAGAAAUAAUACAGUAAAUAUACAGUUUCAAAAGUCCUUCAGGACAUGCAGCAAACGCCGGUGAUUCGGACUGGGUGAAGUUGUCAAAGGUUGCUUUGCUCUCCAGAGCCUGGCAGUAGCUCCACUGAAAUGUGAUGCCAUUGGUUUUCAGCAAAGGUUUCUUUCUGCAGGGCUGCAAACAGAGAUCAGCUGCUACUGUGUAUACACAACUAGGGAGCAAAUCAAGCAGCACAUUUAAGCAGCCUUUUUAACCCUGAGACUUUCCAAGAUUUCUUCUUCUUCACGCAGGAAGUUUCCUUUAUAUUGUCAGCUCUAGCACUUUGCUCAUGUAAUGAGAUCAGAGCUAGGAUCACUGCUGCACAGUAGAAAGACUUCCUUAAGACAUUUGUCCUUGAAACUGCACCAAACUCUUGGAAGAACCCAGAACCUCUGAGCAGUCUCUGUCAAGCACAGGUCGCAGCUAAAAUGCAUAGGUAGAUGCAGGACAAAUCCAGCUUUCCCUGUUCUUCUGAGCUGCCUUGCCAGACGGAGGGGGCGAUUGCUUGUGCCAGUCAGAAAGGUCUUGGAGGAGUGAGUGCCUGGUGCAGUCUCAGCCUGGUUCCUUGAGUUCUGUUUGGGAAGCAAAGAAAGGGAUAGGAGGUAUCAGCUACUGAAGCCCAGACAGCCCGGCAGAGAGUCUAAAAAGCCAUCUAAUAGUCGUCUUUCUGAAAACACAUCCAUUAGUAUGCAGUGUUUUCACUGCUGUAAUAAUAAGAGCAAUCAUGAUACGAACAAGCCCGUCUCUUCACAGCCUUCCCAUGCGGGAUGGAGAAUGACAGCUCCUAAAGCAUUUGGAUAUUUGCC